UAGUCCACGCCGUAAACGUUGGGCGCUAGGUGUGGGACCCUAUCCACGGGUUCCGUGCCGCAGCUAACGCAUUAAGCGCCCCGCCUGGGGAGUACGGCCGCAAGGCUAAAACUCAAAGGAAUUGACGGGGGCCCGCACAAGCGGCGGAGCAUGCGGCUUAAUUCGAUGCAACGCGAAGAACCUUACCAAGGCUUGACAUACACCGAAAACUCGUAGAGAUACGGGGUCCUUCGGGGCGGUGUAC
rnacentral:rRNA from 1 species